CGUGGAAAGUGUCUAAGAGUCUAAGAGUCUAUGUACAUGGUAGAAGCAAAACCCCUUUUAUAUAGGGUCUGAAGAAAACGAAAAAAGAAAAUGAAAGGGGAUAAGGGGAAACUUGCUCACGACGCUGUAAUCUUCCCUUCAUCUCACGGUCAACAAUUGCUUACAUUCCAAGCCCUCUGAUCAACUUGAACUCCGGUCAGCUCCUCAGAACCUCUGGUCAGCUCCAGGUCAGUGGCAUCAACCGUUCUUCUUCUCGCUUGAACCCUAGCUCGAGGGAGUCUUUCUUUUCUUUCCUCAAAAUGAAUUCCUCGUUCAGCUUUGCAAAUGAAAAGCAAGGGAGGAGACCCCUAAGGCAGCUGCUGCCAAAACUCCAAAACGCACCGUUUCAUUUAACCUUUUGGCCCAAUCCCGUAGCCCAUCAGUGUGUGUGCAAUCAGCGGAUCAAGUUUCUUCCAAAUCAGUACACCACCAGCCCAAUGCUUCUCUUUGUUAAUUCUAAUGGUAGCAGCAGAAUUCCAGGCCCUUUUCUUCCAGCGGCGGCCCAUUUUAGUGCAAUCAAUCAGCCCAAUG
rnacentral:lncRNA from 1 species